rnacentral:lncRNA from 13 species
UGGAUAAUUAAAAAGGUAGGUGCCUGUUUCAGAGAAUCUUGUCUCUUCUACCUUGCUUUUUUUGGGUGGUGCGACCUAGAUUCUUCUGUAUAUUCAUCCUGACUGUCACUUUUUGGAAUUGAGCAAGGCAGCAGCAGCAGCAUAAAGAUGUAAUAGUCACUUUGGAUACAGAAUAUUUAAAAGUUUUGUCUUGUAUUUUAAAUGGGAGGCUCAAAUGUCAUUGUUUAUUUUCAGGGCAGCGAAGGACCAUGAGCAAUUCUCCAGUGCUGAAGAUUGAUCCCAGUCAUGUAAAAAUAAGCUGCCACCUCUGGAGGAGCUGAAAAAUAUUGCCAAAAACUAAGAGUCACUCUAAUAUGGAAAGGAGGACAGUCGGGAGUUGGGUAAGUGUGGCUAGUUCUGUAUCAGGACUGCUGACGGAAUCCUAGUUUUACUGCCUACACACCUCCUUGUUCUGUCUGGCUCAGAAGUCAUCUUGUGUUUUUUCCAUCUGCAGAAUGGGGUAAUGACAUUUCUAGAUUUCACCAAGGCCUAAAAUGACAGCAAUAGCCCCUCUGCCUUGCAGCUGCUCUGCUGCUCCCAGCCAAGUCUACUCCCCUUCUUAAGUCCACCGCACAUUGCUGCUAAUGCAG